rnacentral:rRNA from 1 species
CCCUUAGAUGUUCUGGGCUGCACGCGCGCUACACUGAUGCGCUCAACGAGUUUUAACCUUGCCUGGAAAGGUUGGGUAAUCUUUUUAAAACGCAUCGUGAUGGGGAUAGAUUAUUGCAAUUAUUAAUCUUCAACGAGGAAUUCCUAGUAAGCGCGAGUCAUCAGCUCGUGCUGAUUACGUCCCUGCCCUUUGUACACACCGCCCGUCGCUCCUACCGAUUGAAUGGUCCGGUGAUGCCUCCGGAUUGGCGCGCACCUCGGUGCCGCCGAGAAGUUGGCUAAACCUUACCAUUUAGAGGAAGGUGAAGUCGUAACA